rnacentral:rRNA from 1 species
UGGGGUAUAUUGGACAAUGGGCGAAAGCCUGAUCCAGCCAUGCCGCGUGUGUGAAGAAGGUCUUCGGAUUGUAAAGCACUUUAAGUUGGGAGGAAGGGCAGUAAGCGAAUACCUUGCUGUUUUGACGUUACCGACAGAAUAAGCACCGGCGAACUCUGUGCCAGCAGCCGCGGUAAUACAGAGGGUGCAAGCGUUAAUCGGAAUUACUGGGCGUAAAGCGCGCGUAGGUGGUUCGUUAAGUUGAAUGUGAAAGCCCCGGGCUCAACCUGGGAACUGCAUCCAAAACUAGCGGGGUAGAUUAGGGCAGAGAGUGGUGGAAUUUCCUGUGUAGCGGUGAAAUGCGUAGAUAUAGGAAGGGACACCAGUGGCGAAGGCGACCACCUGGGCUCAUACUGACACUGAGGUGCGAAAGCGAGGGGAGCAAACAGG